CGUUGGGGGAUAAUGUCGACAUUUCCACUCCCAAUGACGGUAACAACAGCUUCUUCAAGGUACUCUGGAAAAGAUGUGAACUCCUGUAACUCCUCAGAAGGCCAGUGACAGGAAAAGUUUCUCCAAGAUGGUUAACACUAAUCUCCAAUACCCUGUGUAAAACAACAGGGACUGUGAUAAGUAGCUUCACUUGUCCACACACUAUCUAGGAUCACCCAGGAAAAGAGUUCCAAUGAAGAAUUGUUUAGGUCAUGUUGGCCUGCAGGCAUGACUAUGCGAGGACUGUCUUGAUUGUCUUAAUUGAAGUGGGAAAGACAUAGCCCAUGGUAGGCAAUACCAUUCCCUAGGCAUAGAGUCCUAAAGUGUAUAAGAGUAGAAUAAGAAAGGUGAACCCAGAAUAAAUGCCUUCAUUGCUUUA